rnacentral:lncRNA from 1 species
UUUUUGAAAAAAUAAAACUCCAAGCAUCAAAAUGACGCCGUUUAAUGCCACAUCAUUGAAUAGGUGUCAGCUGAUUCUAAAUCCGUAACAGUUGACUGACAGCCGUUUACGAUGGCUCUGAAAUAUAUACGGAAUGGAAAGUUUGGGUAUGUAAUUUAAAAUUUUAAAAGAUUUAGGUUGAAAUUUACCCUACAAAUUGUACGGGUUGGAAAAUACACUUUGCAAAUUGUUGGGGUUGAAAUAUAUCCUUUAAAUGAUGUCUUGAGGAUCAGAAGACGUCACACGAGCUUCAGCAACAAUCUCACUAGAACCAUUAUAAUCAAGAAGCAAACACUUAGG